CCUACGUGAGGCUGCAGUGAGGAAUAUUGGUCAAUGGACGGAAGUCUGAACCAGCCAUGCCGCGUGCAGGAAGACGGCUCUAUGAGUUGUAAACUGCUUUUGUACAAGGGUAAAACUGAAUACGUGUAUUCAGCUGAAAGUAUCGUACGAAUAAGGAUCGGCUAACUCCGUGCCAGCAGCCGCGGUAAUACGGAGGAUUCAAGCGUUAUCCGGAUUUAUUGGGUUUAAAGGGUGCGUAGGCGGUCGGAUAAGUUAGAGGUGAAAUCCCGAGGCUCAACUUCGGAAUUGCCUCUGAUACUGUUCGGCUAGAGAGUAGUUGCGGUAGGCGGAAUGUAUGGUGUAGCGGUGAAAUGCAUAGAUAUCGCGCAGAACCCCGAUUGCGAAGGCAGCGUGCCGUGCCGCCACUGACGCUGAGGCACGAAAGCGCGGGGAUCGAACAGGAUUAGAUACCCGGGUAGUC
rnacentral:rRNA from 1 species